rnacentral:rRNA from 1 species
UACGUAGGGUGCGAGCGUUAAUCGGAAUUAUUGGGCGUAAAGCGCGCGCAGGUGGUUCCUUAAGUCUGAUGUGAAAGCCCACGGCUCAACCGUGGAGGGUCAUUGGAAACUGGGGAACUUGAGUGCAGAAGAGGAAAGUGGAAUUCCAAGUGUAGCGGUGAAAUGCGUAGAGAUUUGGAGGAACACCAGUGGCGAAGGCGACUUUCUGGUCUGUAACUGACACUGAGGCGCGAAAGCGUGGGGAGCAAACAGG